GCCAUCACUGUGAUGCUGCCCCCUAUGGCCGAGGGGCCAGAAAUGAUCUGGCGCCCUGGGGUAGUGCUGUAGGAGAGGCCCCCACAGGAGACUCCACCACGGGAGCUGCUGACACCUGUGGAGAGAAGAGACAUGGAGGGCCCCAAGUUGCUGUCUGAAAAGUGAAGAGGCUGAUACCCAUCCCAACUGCUCACUGUGAAGAUGAACUCGGAUCACUGAAGAAAAAGUGAAAACGGGAAAGUCACUGCUUCUGCCGCCUAAACCCUGAUCCUAGGCCCCCAAGCCUGGUCCUUCUACUCUGCUAGAGGCCUGUGGACACAGGAGGAGCCUGUGAAGGAGGCUCCCAGCCUCCCCUCACAAAACUUUCUUGGGAGGCAGCCUCACAGCUAUGCAGCAUUCUUCAUGGUCUGGGUACAUUAGGAGGCCUCCUCCUGCCAGCCUGGCCACCUCUCUGCAUUCCAGCCCUCCCUCAUGAAGGGGCUGCCAAGCCUGGACUGGCUAACUGUCACACCUCUUCACCCACCACCGUCCUUGGAAAGUAAUGAUAAUAACAGCUGACAUGUACUGAGGGCUUACUAUUUGCCAUCAUGUUUCAUGCGUGGACUCAUUAACCCUCACAGGUGGAUGAGGCGGGUCCUGUUAUCCAGCCGAGUAACCUGCCUGGGGUUUCACACUGCUGAGUCAUGCAGCGAGGGCUUGGGGGAGGCAGUGUGGCUCUGGGCACUCCCAGCCCCUUCACAGGCUGCUGACUAGGAGACACAGUCCUUUUGGUCUCCCCAUUAUCUCCCACUCUUCCAGCACCUGCUGCCCAGUCCAAGUUUUCAGACACAGUUCUUAUAGUUCUAUGUCAUGUUGGCUCAAGAAAGACAUGCAUGCUCACACAGAUACACUCACAGGCACACACACACACAUAUACUCACACAACACACAUAUACACACACUAACACACACACACGCACACAUACCGCUACACACAUACAGAUGCACACACUUUGGACCACUGGCUCAAUGUCUAGACCACAGGAGACAUCAUUCAAUGCUGCGGGAGUUAAAUGAUGGAAACUGACCCUUCCACCUAUGUGGGUCUGCAGGUCAUUCCCUCUGCUGCCUCAACCCCGCAGCCAUCCUGUCUCCUCAGCAGAUCGGGACCUCCCUGAGGGAGGGCAGGGCUGGGGGCUUCUCUGGACCGUCUCAGGCCUCACCCACCUUGUCGAUGAAGGCCGCGAACCUGCUGUUGAGGCACUUGAUCUGCUCUUUCUCCUCCUGCUUCACGCACUGCGCGUUGGGGUCGAUCUCCAGGUUGAGGGGCGUGAGGAGGCUCUCGUUGACCGACACGGUGGUGAUGCAGGGGGGGCUGGGCCCGCACACACCCCCGGAGCGGUAGCCGAAGCUGCGUCCGCAGGAACCAGCGCGGAAGCCACCCACGGCUAUGCGGGGCCCACAGGAGCCCAGGUUGCAGAGGCUGCGGCUGCCGAAGCCCGUCAGCCCCCUGUAGCAGGACACCCCUCGGUAAGUGGGGGCGCUGAUGCAGCAGCGGUUGCCGGUUUUGGGGGCCACAGCUGAGCAGGAGCUGAAGUUCCUGGUGACCCCGCAUCCUGAGCUGAUCCUGUAGGAGCGGCACGACAUGGUGUGCGGCUGAGCAGAGUCUGAGAGGCAGCGGACAGUGGUGCGGGCGGCAGAGUGCGAGGCUCAGGAUCCUUCUGGUCUCUCUGAUCCUCCCUGGUCCUUUUAUUGGUGGGGAGAGCUGGGGUUGGCUGCAUAAAAGGAGUGAAAAGCCAUUUUAUGUUGUUUAUGGGCUUGGGGAGUUUGCCAGCAACUCCCCACGGACUCAUCUUAAAGGUGAGCUCAGCAGCGACUCUGGGGCUCCGUGAAGUCUUGAAGAUGUUAUUAAGGAUACUGCGUUUGCACUUUUCAUCUUCAAAGCUCGUUUACAUACAUUAAGUAAUUAAUUUUCUCACAGUCUCUCUGUGAGAUGGCCUCAACCCACACUCGGAGACAGAUUUGAACUGCACAAUAGCCUGGGGCUGGUUGGGUUUGGGAUACAGGCAGGGGCCAUUGUCUCAAGGGAGAGGUUGUAGGGUCCUAGGUUAGAUGAGACUGGGGGCGGGGCGGUUAUUGCAUCCUUCUGCCUGGUUCCACAGAGGACACAUUCUCAAGUAAAUCAUUGCACUUCAGGGGCCAGUAUGUCAGGUGAAUCCUGCCCCAUCCAGGCAGCAUUUCUUGGAGGUGGUUCAGGACCAGAGCGGUCAUACUGAUCAUGACCAUGCCAGGAUGGAGGGCUGGGGCAGAUGGUCUCUUGGAACCUUCUGGAUUCCAGUCCAGAAGGCACUGCUCCAGAGCUUUCAUUUCUCACCCAGCAAAAGUGCAAACCACACAACUUUCAGUGGCCACAAUAAUGGCCACUUGUGGAUUAUAGGGAGACUCCCUCUAGACACUUUCUUCCGUUUGGCCAAAAGGAUUGGAGAACUCAACCUUAGGAUAACCUGGGGACUAUAAAUUUGCUGUGGGCACCUUUCCUUUGCUCUUUAAGAAGAAAGAGGUCAUGUGAGCCUCCCUUCCCAGACCACCAGCUGCAGGAGGUAUUCCUUCUGUUGGCCAGCCCCAGAACUGUCAUCCCUAGAGGAGACUGCAUUGCACAAAGCUGGAAGUGGGAUGGUGGCUUAUUCUUGUCUGAGGUUGCCAUGAUUUCUGGCUCCUAGGGUUCUGGGAGCCCCAUCCUUCUGGUUUCUGCUUCCCUGGUGUCCUUGGGUGACUUAUUAGGAUAAUGAGUGCUAUUCUUUUAAUGUUUAGGGAGUACAAAUCUUGGGGAUGUCCAUCUGCCCCCAGGGAGGUUAGCCAGACACCCAAGUGUCAGGAACUUUAGGAAGAAGAGCUGAUGAGCUUCCUCAGAGGGUGACUCCUCCAGGAAGCCUUCUGUAACCAAGCUCUGCCACUGUGCUGCUGUUCCCAUAAGUCCUUCAUGAAAUGCCCUACACUCUGUCCUGCAUCUGCCCUCAUCUCCACAGCUAGCCGACCUCCCCCAGGACCUUCACCCAGGAUCAGGCUGAAUGAUUCCCAUCUCACCUCCACAUUUCACAUUGUUCUUCAGGGCAGGGCAGAGAGAGCUUGGCAGCUGGUGAGUCUCACCAGCUGCCCCUAGAACAUAUCCAGGUCAUAAUCAUCCAUGGAAAAGCAACUGAGUUUGGCAACCUGGUAAUGGAAUCAAAGCUGGAAGACCUGGUUCAAGGUCCAGUUUGGAUCCUUACUAGCAGUAUGGCUUUGGGGAACUUCUUAACCUCUCUGAGCCUCUGUUUCCUUAAAUGUAAUGUGAAAUUCAUCCUUAAAUUCCGGAGCUGUUUUGAGGGUGAAGUACAUGAUACAUGAGAAUGUGCGGUUGAAAUGGUAAGGCUCUGGGUAACGGGAAGGACCUAUUGCUUCCCAUGAGAAACAUUCCCACCUGCCUUGCCCAGCAGAGAGGGCCUACUCCUUGCCCUGCCGUGGUCUUCACCUCCUCUGCAUGUUUAUGACUCCUUUACCCUUUCAAGGUUGCUUUUAAUGUUUCCUUUAGUCUGAUUUCACUUGUAUAGCAAUUCUGGGUGGAGUCUGGGGACAGAGAGGAGGCUCUGUGGGAGACCACAGGGGAUGAUGAUUCCCCAGCCCCCACUGCUCAGUGCCUGUUGCCAGGGACCAGGGAUGUCAAAAGGAUUGGAGAUCUCAACCUGGGGGCUAUGAGUUUGGACAGUGAGUUCACUGACUGGCUGCCGUGUAGACCUCGCGCUGGUGUGGUGUGGGCCAAGAGGGAGUCCUGAGCGUGGGAGGUGGAGGGGCCUGAAAGUCCAUAAAUACCUCCCCCUCUCCACAACUCCCUUAAGCCUCUGCCCUCCUCCAGGUUGUUAAAGAUGAUAGGACCAGAGCCAUUUCUGUUCCUCCUUGAGGGCAGGAGGUUUUGUCCUGGAGGGAGGCUCCUGUUUCAGUUGCUUUCUCCUGGACCCAAUGCACACUCCAUCUAACCCUCCACCCUAACUUGGGAAGGGAAGGUGGUGCCAGGGGAUUCAGGAGACUGGGGGUAGUCCGUUGUUUCCAGAACUAAGAUACCUCUCCAGGACCAUCAGGUCUAUGCAGCCCAAGGGUGCAAGCCCCUGCAACGGCCCACCCUGCCCACCCAGCUCAUGCGUGCUGGGUGAAGCUUGCAUCACUGCUGAUGGCAAUGCUGAGCCCAGGGCUUGGGGGGCUGCCCAGGUUGUCCAGGUGGAGCUUCAGAUUGGAGGAGCUGGGCUGAGGGCAAAGCCUUGAGGGGAGCUGAUCCUCACUGGUCUGGUCCCAGGUGGUCCAGGGCCAGUGAGCAAGUCAGGGCAGGUGGAUCUGGCACAGCUGUCCUGGAAGGACCUGGGCCUUUGCUUAUGGUUCUACCCAGGGGGGACUCAGAGAGCAUGUAGCCUCUCUAGCCAUCACCCAAACACCCUGCUCAGUGGAACCCAAGUCGUUGCCCUGAGAGUCAGGAUCUUUGCAGGGCUGGAAGCCCCAUCUCCUUUCAGUGUCUCAUCCUUAUUCACUGUGCCCUCGUUUGCCUGUGCCCCGUCACACCCCACUCCCUUCCGUCAACCUUCUCCCUGUCACACCUUGGCCUGGAAUGUUCGAGAACAGCUGCCUCUUCCAGGAAGCCUUUGUGAGAUCAUUAGAGGGAGGCUGUGAUUUCUCCUCCCUCUGUCUCAUAAAUGCCCUCUCUGGGGCUCUCCAGUUAACCCCAAUUAUCCCCUUCACACCCUCUUGUCCUAAGGGCUAUCACUUGUCAUCUCCCUUAGCCCUGUCCCCUCUUGUUCUCUGCACCUUUUGAAGUCCCCAUCUAGUUCUGGAAAUCUCAAGAGUCCACAACCCAGCCGUAAAGUGCUCCCAAGAGGCUGCUUUUUUCAAAAAGCCUUCAAUAACUACUUGGAGAGAGAAGUUCCUUACCCUACCCUGAAGCCCUAGGCAACAUCUGAGUCCCCCUGUGAUCUGCCCCACUCCAGAGUACAGAUUCUGGGGUUUUCUCAGAGGCCUCCCUGCUCCCAUCUCAGCCCUAUCUUCAGGCAGUGCGUUUUGCCUGAGCUGGGAUGCUCCCUGGGGCAGCUGGCUCUCCCCAUCCCAGAGGCCCACUGCCUCCCUUCCCUUCUGCUUUUUCCACUGUGCUAAAAUCCCCUGCCUUUAGGAAGACUUCCUGGAUUUGUCCAAAGACAGGAGGGCACUGGCACCUCCCCCUGUCCUGCACUGACUGUCCUUAGGGCUGCCUGUCUAUCCUCCCAGUUUUGUGUUUGUGUCUGCCUGGGCUCUUGUGGGUUGUCUUCCUAUCUCUUCUAGUGGGCUGGUCCUCCUCGGUCAAUCCCGAUGGGUUCCCCAUGGACAAGGCCUGCACAGCUGAUUUAAGUUGGGCACCGCUCUUUGCCUCUGCUGGCCACACUUUCAUUAUGCAUCCAAGGCUACGCCACUGCUGGUGUUGAGAGUGAGAGAAGGGAGGCCGGAGCCACUUGAUGUUCUGCAGUGUGUCAUGGUAGGGUUCUGUGCCCAGCUGACACAGCUGCUCCCUGGUCUGUGGCCCACAGGAACUCCAAGAAACUCCACUCUCCUCCUGAACUCUGUCGGCGUGCCUUCCUGGCAGCACUCCCUGGUGCUUUGCUGUUUUCCAUGGUUACUCCGGGUCAGAGCAGAUGCUCAGUCAUUACAGAGCCUCUGAGGAGUAGAGUGCAUAAGUGAUUUUGAAAUUUUUUCUUUUCUUUUUGGCAGUAGAGCCAUCUUCCUAAAUCCUAGGAGGAGAACAGCUAUAGAAAGCCGUGUAUCUACUUACUUAGUUAUAGAAUAGAUAAGAUUGACGUGCUGGUCUUCCUGUUUGCCCCUGGCCUCCCAUCUCCAUUCUCAACACAGGAGAGUGAGCCCCAUAAAACAUAAGUUGGAUCAUGCCACUCCCUGCUCGAACCCCCAACUCCCCAUUUCACUUGGAGUUCCAACGAUGGCAAUAGGGCCCUGCACUGCCUGUCCAUAUUGUGGCAUUUGUCACUGGUCUCCCUGUGCUCCUGGAGCAUCAGGACGGGUUACACUCCUGACUCAGAGCCUGUGCCCUGCUGCCCCUUCCGCCCAAAUGCUCUCCUCUCAUCCACGUGGCUUGCCCAUCACCUCCUGCAGGGCUUUUCCCCAUACCAUCUCUCUGACUCUUUAAAAAAAUGGCAACCCACUCUCCACCCCAGGGCACUCUCCAUCCAGCUUAUCUUGCUCUGAUACACACUCCAGAAUUUACUUAUUUAUUCUCUUUACAGAUUAUUGUCUGUUUCUCCCCUCAUCCCAAAGUAAACUCCCUGGGAGCAGAGAUUUUAUCUGUCUUGUUUAUUUUGUUCACCUAGAACAGUGCUUGGACUACGGUAAGUGCUCAGUAAAUAUUGUUGUCUGAUGAAUGUAUAAAUGAAUGGAUAUCUUGAAUACUUUAGAUAUUUGAGGUUUGGCAGAAAAUGUCAGCUUGUGGGAAGCCUUGGCCCUUGAGCCCUGAGGAGCUCACUCAGUUUGAAAGCCGCGGGCUAAGCCCCCUCCCUGGGUCUUUCCUGCUUCAAGGCUGUGGUUUUCUGAACACCCAUGGAGACCAAGAGCACGGGCGGUGAAAACGGCUGUGUUGGGUUGGUGAGAAAGGAGAUGGACUUCUUUUUAAAAGCUGUUAUUUAUUGUUUGUAUGUUUGUGUCCUAAUUACAAAUUUGGAGGAAAACAAAAUGGUUUCACAAGACUCUAAGCUCCCUCCUCCGCUCGCUGUAUUGCACAAGCCAAUCCUGCUGGUAGCCUGCUUUGAACAUCUCCUGUGCCUUCUUGUCCGAAGCUGGUGGCCAGAAGAGGGCAGCAAAUUCCCACAACUGGCCUGGCAGCAGUUCAGUUGUGGCAGAAGCAGAAAAGGCCAGGGAUCUGCCUGUGGCUGGCUCUGGUUUCCAGAGCUUUGGAAGCUGAAGAUAGUCCCUGAUGCUCCUGCACCCACCCGUGGCUGGUUCUGGAGUGGCUGAACUGCUGACACAGCUGCUGUUCAUUGAUAAACAGACACCGAGCCCACCACCAGACUGAAGCAAUCAUGCCCCACCAUGUGCCAGGUUCAGUGCUAAGCACCUUGGAUUGCCAUUGCACGUCAUCCCCACAGCUCUUUGAGAGACAGGGUCUCCUCAUAUUACCCAGGCUAGUUUCGAACUUCCAUGCUCAAGUGAUCCUCCUGCCUCAGCCUUCUGCAGGGUUGGACUACCGGCAUGAGCCACUUCGCCUGACCUCUAUUGAUUUUUCAGUAUAUCUCUCUGCAUUACUUUUUAGUGGCUACUCUAGAGAUACAACGUAUGUAAUCUACUCUUUCAUAGUCUGCUUAGAGGUAAUUUUUAUCACUUACAUAGAACUUCCUCCCUUUGUGUGAUAGUCAUCACAGAUAGUUCAUCUACAUGAAUUAAAACCCCACCAACGGGCCCCGUUUUUAUUUUCAGUAGUCAUAUGUAUUUUAAAGAAUAUAAAAUAAACAAAAAUACA